rnacentral:rRNA from 1 species
GAUGAACGCUAGCGGCAGGCCUAACACAUGCAAGUCGAGGGAGAAGCCCUUUCGGGGGCAGAAACCGGCGCACGGGUGCGUAACGCGUAUGCAACCUACCUUUCACAGGGGGAUAGCCCGAAGAAAUUUGGAUUAAUACCCCAUAAUAUUGUUGGAUGGCAUCAUCUGGCAAUUAAAGCUACGACGGUGGAAGAUGGGCAUGCGUCCUAUUAGCUAGUUGGAGUGGUAACGGCACCCCAAGGCUACGAUAGGUAGGGGUCCUGAGAGGGAGAUCCCCCACACUGGUACUGAGACAGGGACCAGACUCCUACGGGAGGCAGCAGUGAGGAAUAUUGGUCAAUGGUCGGAAGACUGAACCAGCCAUGCCGCGUGCAGGAAGAAUGCCUUAUGGGUUGUAAACUGCUUUUAUAUGGGAAGAAUAAGGCGUACGUGUACGUUGAUGACGGUACCAUAUGAAUAAGCAUCGGCUAACUCCGUGCCAGCAGCCGCGGUAAUACGGAGGAUGCGAGCGUUAUUCGGAAUCAUUGGGUUUAAAGGGUCUGUAGGCGGGCUAUUAAGUCAGGGGUGAAAGGUUUCAGCUUAACUGAGAAAUUGCCUUUGAUACUGGUAGUCUUGAAUAUCUGUGAAGUUCUUGGAAUGUGUAGUGUAGCGGUGAAAUGCUUAGAUAUUACACAGAACACCGAUUGCGAAGGCAGGGGACUAACAGACAAUUGACGCUGAGAGACGAAAGCGUGGGGAGCGAACAGG